AUUGGAGGGCAAGUCUGGUGCCAGCAGCCGCGGUAAUUCCAGCUCCAAUAGCGUAUAUUAAAGUUGUUGCAGUUAAAAAGCUCGUAGUUGGAUUUCUGUUAAUAAUUUAUAUAUAAUAUUUAACAUAUUUAUAUAAUAUUAACAUAAUUCAUAUUACUAUUUAUAGUAUAUGAAACUUUACUUUGAGAAAAUUAGAGUGCUUAAAGCAGGCUUUUGCCUUGAAUACUAGAGCAUGGAAUAAUAUUAAAGAUUUUUAUCUUUCUUAUUGGUUCUAAGAUAGAAAUAAUGAUUAAUAGGGACAGUUGGGGGCAUUUGUAUUUAACAGUUAGAGGUGAAAUUCUUAGAUUUGUUAAAGACAAACUAAUGCGAAAGCAUUUGCCAAGGAUGUUUUCAUUAAUCAAGAACGAAAGUUAGGGGAUCGAAGACGAUCAGAUACCGUCGUAGUCUUAACCAUAAACUAUGCCAACUAGAGAUUGGAGGUUGUUCCUUACUCCUUCAGCACCUUA
rnacentral:rRNA from 1 species